AUUGAACGCUGGCGGCAUGCCUUACACAUGCAAGUCGAACGGCAGCACGGGAGCAAUCCUGGUGGCGAGUGGCGAACGGGUGAGUAAUAUAUCGGAACGUGCCCGGUCGUGGGGGAUAACGUAGCGAAAGCUACGCUAAUACCGCAUACGAUCUACGGAUGAAAGCGGGGGAUCGCAAGACCUCGCGCGAUUGGAGCGGCCGAUAUCAGAUUAGGUAGUUGGUGAGGUAAAGGCUCACAACGCCGACGAUCUGUAGCGUGGUCU
rnacentral:rRNA from 1 species